CAUUAUUUUUUUGAUUUGCAGUACCUGCGGAGGUCCAAAAGUCUGCAUAGAGUCCAGGCUACAAAGCAGUGGCAGGGAAGGUUUUCCUUCUGUUUCAUGCUUGUUCCUGAUCCCUGGAGAGGAGAUUCAAACCCAAGGUAGGACAGGACUUCUCCUGAAUAAGUUUGUCAGGGCUGCAGCAUGGCAGGUUACGGAAGGCAUAUCUUCCUGUGUGAGAACAGCACUGAAAUAGCUGCCAUAUUCCUGCAGAGAUACCAGCCACCAAAAGACAUGCUGACAUAUGAGGUGCUACUGCUUUUAGCCAUGAACGUCCCCUAUCUUGAGAGCACCAGACAGACCAGCUUUCCUGGAAGUACUGGGCUAGAAGUCUGACUCAAGUUAGGGACCUAAACUGUUACUUGGAUUUCAUAAAACUGCCUAUCCUGAUGUUAUAAAAGAGUUAAUUUUGUGGCAACUAUAAUUAUGAAACACAGAGGAAAUGAAAAUAUUGGCAGUGUUAUUUUUGUUCUGCCUAAGGUAGUGGGAAGAGUCUGAACCCUUUAGGUCUGCUGGGCCAGUACGGAAAACUCUCCACUGUCCUGAGAGCUGGCAGAUAUGUUUCAGUCCACCCAGGCUCCCUCAUGGCUUCCCCAGGCUGCUGUCUAUAGGCUUUUUUCUUUUGGUCUUCAUUCUUCUGGGAGUAAUUCCCUUUACAGAGUUUGGGGAUGAUUUUGUUGUCCAGGAAUUCUACAGUUUUUGUUUGAAGAUUAUUACACUGAAGAACUAACAUCUCAGGAGACGUGCUUUUUCCUUUGGGGUGACCUUCAAACUCCUUGGGACUCACAUCAAAGUGGAAAUCUUGAAUGUCAGUGCUCCCUGGUAAGUAACUGGUAUGAAGCAGCAUGUCCAAACAGCUCCACUGCUGGCUGCUGCCUUCCCACAGCAGGGUGUUUCCUCAGCUUUGUGACUGAGCAGCCAUAGGCUUUUCUGGGUGCUCCUGAGACCUGUGCACUGAAGAAGUGUUUCUACAGUGUGAGAAGGAUUAUUAAACUGAAGCUAACAGGUAGCUGGCCUGUUCCACAGCUGGGAAACCAACAGUGUGAACCACCAGUUCUGGUUUUAGACAUAACUGGCUUCUUUAAGGAUGCUGUCUGUGUUAAAAUCACCAUCAGUCUGUUACAUCCAGCUAUAUCUAUGGUUUGUUCUGUGAUGCUGGAAGCUGGUUAAAUACCAUAGCUUAUGUGGAUAUGUCAAAUGUGUCACCACCGAACAGAAGCUUU